rnacentral:misc_RNA from 1 species
GCGACGGAUAAACUUGAUUUUAUAUGAUGACUAGAAUUUUGCUAGCUUUACAUAGUGAAAUAUGUAGACCAAAAUUAUUACCUGUCAAAACUCACCAUACCUGUAUCAAGAAUGGACGGUUCCCAUACCAGAGCGCAUGACCCAGUUUUUUUGCACUUGUCGACAUGGCGGAAAGUGGGGACGAGGCUGGGAUUGGUGGUGAAAAAAUGAAAAAUACGGGCGAAGAAAGUGAGCAGAGUGAUGCUGACGAGGAAUUAUUUGAAGUUGAUAAGAUUAUCGGAAAAUCUAAGAUCAAAGGGUCCAUUGUGUACAAGGUGCGGUGGAAAGGUUAUGGGCCAGAAGAUGAUACUUGGGAACCAAGGGAAAAUUUGGAGAGUUGCCAAGACCUAAUUGAAGAGUAUGAUGCGAAACAGACUGAAAUUGCAAAAAAGAGGACUGAAGAGAGAAAAAUGAAACAGUUAUUAAUGGAAGGCCGUAUUGAGAGUUCUGAUUCCUCAAGUGACAGUAGUUCACCAUACCCAUCAAACUUCAAGAACACAUUUUGGAAGGAAUUAGAGGCUGGAAGGGUGAACGUUUUUGACAAUGACAUGUAUUCAAAAGUGAAGAAGAGGUCUAUGACAUUACAGUCCAGAAAUAAUGAGCAGAAUUCACCAGACACAGAUCAGUCAGCCAUCAAAACAGAAAAAAAGAAGAAACGAAACCACAGUAAUCCAGAAAAAGCCAGUAAGCUAAAAGCCACAGGUAGCAGUUCUAGAAAAUCUAAAAGCACUACAAAGAAAACCAAAGGAACAUCUAACCACAAAUCAAGUAAAAAACCAGAAAGUUCACGUUGUAUUGACUUUAGUAGUCUUGUAACAGACUCUGAUACUGACAGAGAUAUUAAACAAAAAGUGGAAAAAACUGACAGUGCUCAGACAACAGAUAAAAAAGCCGAGAUGAACUCUGACAGUUCAGAUAGUGAAUUAUUGAAGCCAUGUUUAAACCUGGUGAUCAAGAAGAUUCCAGAAAUAACAGAUGAUAUGGGAAAGAAAUGCUCUCUUGCAGGCCAAGAAAAUAGAUCUAGCUACAGAGUUCUCCCCAAAACACCAGAUAUGCAAGGCUUUGAAAGUAGCAGUGGGCAAAAAGCAUCGUCUUCCUCUCAUCAUUCAAAGAAGAAGAAACAUCAUAAGCAUCACAAGCACAAGUCAAGAAAAUCUUCUCCACAUGGACACGAGUCACGAGAUAAGAAGCGAAAGGUUUCCUCAACAAGUUUAACAAACUUUCCUGCAGAAAGUUCAAAAGUACCGAGGCUUGAAUCAAUGGACAGUAACAUUCUUGGAGAACAUAAUAAACACAAAGAUAAUAUCAUAUCUGAUCUCAAAACUCAAAGCAAUACUGAUUUAGACAGGCCAUUUGACCCUGAUCUUCCUGAAUCAAGCGAAAAUACUGGAAAUAACUGUGUUAAAAAACAGGCAAUCUCUGAAAUCAGAGAGCUUGCAUCAGUCAAAUCUAAUAACAACCAUGAAAUUUUAGACAGUCUUCCUUCAAGUGAUCUCUCACAGUUUAACCGAUCUCUACAUUCUGAUAUACAUGUACAUAAAUGUUCAGGCCCCACAAGUGUGAAUAAGAAUGAAUGUUUAAACAGUUUAGAUAACAAUAACGAAGGACCUUUAUUAAGUGCUAAUACACAGUUGUCUCGACAGAUCUCUGAACAUACGUUAGAUAGUGGGAUACAUUCACCAGCUAGCGAGAAAAGUGAAGCUCUGUUCAGGCAAGGUGUUGAUGAAAGGCUGGUUCCUCCUUUGUCAAGUCACGCCUUUAAAGAUAUACCGACAGAUCAGGACCUAGAUAUAGCGCUGGAUGAUAUAGACUGGGACCUGUUUAAUACGGAAGUGACACUUGAACCAAUCGUAGUUACUAAUGAUGAGUUUGCCACUGCUGUAAUGACAGGGGAUUAUCACCUGAUUAAACAAGCUUUGAUUGGAGACCGCAAGUACGACUUGGAGCACCCUGAUACAGAUGGAAAAACAUUACUCAUGUUCUCUGUACAACAAGGACAUGACGACAUAUCGGAUUUACUUAUAGAACAUGGAGCUGAUAUAAAUGCUCAGAUGAAAAACGGAAUGACUCCAUUAAUGAUAGCUUGCCAUAGUGCUGAGGUCAGUACAGUGAAUUUGUUGCUAGAGUUGGGUGCAAAGGUUAAUUUGGAAUCCAAGGACAGAAAAACAGCUCUUAUUUAUGCUGCUAAGAGGGGGCAUAAUCAGAUACUGUGGUUGUUAUUGGAAUGUGGAGCCAACUUCAAUACAACAUCAGAGGCAGGACACACCGCCCUCGACUAUCUCAAGUUGUUACAUCACACUGACACUGAAGUUAUACUUACAAGUCACAUCCAAAGAGUUAUGUCGGAAUUCAACAAGCAGGUGUCAAUAACUCUUAAUGGAACCGCAAAGAUAUUGACGUCCUUGUUCAAGCCGCAGUUGUUCAACAUUUGUGAUGGCGAGAAGUUUGAAAUUGCAUUCCAGCAUAAUCUACUACCACCAAAUUCAGGUAUAGGGUAUUUGUUAUUUAUUGGUCAUGCCACAUUUUCCAACCAAGAAGUGAUGUGUCGGCUGUAUGGCCCGAGUGCAGUAAAGGCUGUUACAUUGAAUGGACAUGAUCAGUCUUGUCUUACAGAGGAGGGUAAUUUUGUGCUAGCUUUUUCACCAUUGGUUGACGGAAGAAAUUUACUGACAAUCAAUACAUUAAAAACAAAAGAUUCUAAGGCCAAGUUGAUAGUGUGUGCGUACAUGGCUCAGCUUUUACAGUGCUAGAUGUGGUCUCGUAACAACAUUGUACCAGGAAACUGUGAUGUUUUAACUGUUUUAUAUAUGUUUUUUUUUUUGGUAGUUACUAUGUAUAAGUUAUAGAUGUUUUGCUAAUGAACAUUUUCAAAGCAAUUAAAUUGUCAUUUAUGCAUUUAGCAUUACAUGCGCAUUACAAAUGUUGAAAAUACAUGUUACAUGAUGGAGACAACUAGAUAAUUGAUAUCCUUGGCAAGUGGGGUCUUCCUUCAUCAUUACAGCUGGAAAAGUCGCCAUAUGACUUGAAAACUUUGCUGAUGUGGCUUAUAGCCAAAACUAAACCAGAAUCAUUUUCGUUUUAUGUAUCAUUUGAUGAAAAAUUUCAGCUUGUUUAUUUCGUGCACUUGAAACUCAUUUUUAUGCACUUUCAGUAUAUUGUUUCAUUUUGCUAACUGUAUUUGUUGAUUUUACCUAUGUUAGAUGUAUUAUUUAUUUAUUUAAGGGACAUGCCUGCAGGUGUAUAUCACAGUACAGUCGACCUGUGUUGAACUAUAACACCUGCUUAUAAAGGCCACUAUUUUCCUCAAUUUAUUUGACCAUAAAUAGUGUAAAUUAAACUGAGUUGAGAGACCAUGUGUCAACUUAGACCACUUAUACACACAAAUUUCACUGUAUGUCGCUUUAUUCCUGAUAUAGGUCCGCUUUAAGUAAGAUUAAGUUAAAAUAGUAUCUGUAUUGGUGAAUGUUGGUAUGAUAAUAGUGCUGUCACGCUCACAUGAUUUGCAAUAGGACUAUACUCAUUGUGUUGGGCAAGUUUGAUAUUAAUUUAUUUACUGCAUGCUGAAUUACCAGAUAUUCAGACUUCCGAUAACCCGACUCAUUUUUGCAGUCAAAGAGAAAUAGGCAAUAAGUAAGGAACUGCUGACCUAAAUUGAUCACCAAAGUUUACCUGUUAUACAUUAAUAAAAUUACCAGUUACCAGUAUAAGGCUAUAAAUAAGUAGAAAAAAGGGUAUAGAGAUGAUAAAAGUGUAAAAAAUUUGAUAUUAAUUUUGCUUUAUGGACAUUCAGCAUAAACAGGGUUGUUUAUGUAAAUUUGUAGAUGUAGAAAUCCGAUGUGUACUAUAUAUUAGAUGCUAUUUAUAUACA